rnacentral:lncRNA from 1 species
UCGAAAAUGUUGGGACAUUAUAUCUCCUUCGCACAUCAAGCAACUGGAGCCCUCUUCUUACCGUGUGCCUUAAAUCCAAUUUCGUCAAGGCUCAUAAAUAUUCAUUCGAGCGCACUGUGGAGUAUUAUUUAGUGUCUAAAAGACCAGGAAACACGAGGAUGGAUUUCUACAACAUAACUUUUAGGAUGACACCAAAUAUAACAGUAAAAUCACAGCCUUAUAUUCACAUUGAAGUAGUCGGACGAAGUGGUGGAGAGCAUGUU